rnacentral:rRNA from 1 species
GAGUUUGAUCAUGGCUCAGAUUGAACGCUGGCGGCAGGCUUAACACAUGCAAGUCGAACGGUAGCAGGAGAAAGCUUGCUUUCUUGCUGACGAGUGGCGGACGGGUGAGUAAUGCUUGGGAAUCUAGCUUAUGGAGGGGGAUAGCCAUUGGAAACGAUGGCUAAUACCGCGUAAUAUCGGGAGAUUAAAGACUGGGACCGCAAGGCCAGUUGCCAUAAGAUGAGCCCAAGUGGGAUUAGGUAGUUGGUGGGGUAAAGGCCUACCAAGCCUUCGAUCUCUAGCUGGUCUGAGAGGAUGACCAGCCACACUGGAACUGAGACACGGUCCAGACUCCUACGGGAGGCAGCAGUGGGGAAUAUUGCGCAAUGGGGGCAACCCUGACGCAGCCAUGCCGCGUGAAUGAAGAAGGCCUUCGGGUUGUAAAGUUCUUUCGGUGAUGAGGAAGGGAGUUAUGUUAAUAGCAUAAUUCAUGA